CGCAGUGCUCUGUUGAAAUUUACGAGGUUUAGCCGCGGCUCGCGGAAGAAAGAGGAAUGAAACGGAAAGCUCAUGCCGUGGCGCGGUGAGCCGCUUCUGGGCCGCUUCUGGACCGCGCCUGGACCGCGCCCUGUAGACAAGCAAAGACAACAAUCGGCAGAAACAACAUUGGAGAUUUCCACACAGUCACAGCCAGUGCGAGAUCCAAGAUGGUGGCCUUCAGCUGCUAGACUGCUGAUCCAAACAACACAUCUCUCCUUGGACAUCAAAACUUCUUCGUUGUUAUUCUUUUUUGGAUUCCUCCAUGUGCUGUGACUUGCUACAAGUGCCCACUGAGAGUUGGAUAGCAAACUAUGUCCACAGAGUUUGUGUGACAAUCUUCAAGGCUUUAUAGGAAGACUCACUCAUCCGGGUGUAUAGCAAUCGGGAGGACAUCACAAAGGUUAAAUAAAUCAAAGAGAAAGAUCUCUGCAGAAUGAGACUAUGGAGACAUCAACCUGGACCACCUGGGACAAUAUAAAGACAAGCUUUACAUCAUGAGAACAAAAAAAUAUGCAACACAAAAAAGCUAAAGCCAGGACUGUCUGGAUUCACUCUCCAGCCCAAAUACAACACCAACCACUUUCUUUGAUGCCAGCACACUGCACAAAGAUGUGAGACAGAUUUCCUCUUUGGCACAAUACAUUUGAAGGUGGAAGUUAAAUACACAGCAGGGCCGGGGUCAUUUCACAGAUAUUUUGGUCAUGAACUGUUGUUGAUGAGGUGCUCAGGCACUGCAUGCGGGCUGGACAAAUAUACUGAGAUGUCAGUUAACAAAAGACUGGAUACACAAAGGAAUAAAAACAAAAAGGAAAUGAGGACACAGGGAAAGUCUUACAGAACAUAUUUUCCCUGAGAACAGUAGAGCAAUGUAGAUAGGUAAAAAGUCCCAAACCCAA